UAUCCCCCGGCACCUGCGCCACCACCCGGCAGGAGAGCCGCCAGGACAUCGCUGCCGAAGCACGACAGCACCAAGACCAGCUUGGCCAACUGCAAUCAGAGAAGUGAUUCUGCGGCUUUGCGACGAGAUCGUAUUCUGGCAUCGAUGUUAUUGACCGGAGGAGGAAACGAGAUACUCGAUCGGAUCCAAGUGCCAUGGAUCUCGAAACGAAGCAAAUAGCGGUGACCCAGAAGAUUUUGCAAGAAGGAGGCGUAAAAAGUGCGAAGUAUAGCGUACUCACAAUAAAAAUCGACGACCAACGUGCUUCGACUAUUCCUAGGUGGCCGAUGUCGGCAUACUUUUUUUUUUAUGAGACAAGAAACUAGCAUAUCGCGCCUGCUACAUUAUAUACAAUAUUAUAUAUAUUACACAUGUACGUUGCACAAAACGUGUAAUCGAAUGAAAGAACAAUAUUCUCCAAAAAGUUUGUGGCACAGCGAAUUCUUUUGGUCGUUUAUUACAAGCCGGAGCGACCAACUUUCACGAAAACGCGACGGCCAACUGUUGCCCCCGUAAAGGAGCUAGUGGAACAUGAAAAUCAAUAAAUUUGUUGCUGAGAAAAAUAAAAGAUAACCACCGGUAGAUUUCGCUAAGCAGAUAGUUAUCGUUUGCUAGAGAUAAUUAACCAGUUCUCGAAAA